GGGUAACCUACCCUCAGGACUGAGAUAACCCCGGGGAACUGGGGCUAAUAUUAGAUAGAUAAAAGGUACUGGAAUGUUCUUUUAUCCAAAGCUUUUGCGCCUGAGGAUGGGCCUGCGUCCGAUUAGGUUGUUGGUGGGGUAAUGGCCCACCAAGCCUACGAUCGGUACGGGCAGUGGGAGCUGAAGCCCGGAGUUGGGGACUGAGACAAGGCCCCAGGCCCUACGGGGCGCAGCAGGCGCGAAACCUCUGCAAUGCGGGAAACCGUGACAGGGGGAUUCCAAGUGCUCAUGCAUUGCAUGGGCUGUUCUUUGGUCUAAGUAACCAGAGGAGUAAGGGCUGGGCAAGACCGGUGCCAGCCGCCGCGGUAAUACCGGCAGCUCAAGUGGUAGCCGCGAUUAUUGGGCCUAAAACGUUCGUAGCCGGAUAAGUAAGUCUUUGGUUAAAUCCUGCGACUUAACCGUGGGAAAUCUAGGGAUACUGCUUGUCUUG
rnacentral:rRNA from 1 species